rnacentral:rRNA from 1 species
UGGGGAAUUUUGCACAAUGGGGGAAACCCUGAUGCAGCGACGCCGCGUGAUUUAGAAGGCCUUCGGGUUGUAAAAAUCUUUUUUACGGGAUGAAAAUGACAGUACCGUAAGAAUAAGGUCCGGCUAAAUACGUGCCAGCAGCCGCGGUAAUACGUAUGGACCGAGCGUUGUCCGGAAUCAUUGGGCGUAAAGGGUACGUAGGCGGCCUAGUAAGUUAGAAGUGAAAUAAUAUAGCUCAACUAUAUAAAGCUUUUAAAACUGCUAGGCUUGAGAGAUGGAAGGGAAAGUGGAAUUCCUAGUGUAGCGGUUAAAUGCUCAGAUAUUAGGAAGAAUACCGGUGGCGAAGGCGACUUUCUGGUCAUCAUCUGACGCUGAGGUACGAAAGCGUGGGUAGCAAACAGG